rnacentral:rRNA from 1 species
GACGAAGGGGGCUAGCGUUGUUCGGAAUUACUGGGCGUAAAGCGCGUGUAGGCGGUUGUUCAAGUCAGGUGUGAAAGCCUUGAGCUCAACUCAAGAAAUGCACUUGAUACUGGAUGACUAGAGGACCGGAGAGGAUAGUGGAAUUCCCAGUGUAGUGGUGAAAUACGUAGAGAUUGGGAAGAACACCAGUGGCGAAGGCGGCUAUCUGGACGGUUUCUG